AAAGGAAUUCAGAAACAUGAAACACCUCUUGGAUUGUGAUUCUUCACUGUUCAAGUCAUGAUAUAGCCUUAAAGAAUCCAUCAAAGUUCUAGACCUGGCAGCAGUAAACAUAGAGGAAUGGAGAGUGCAAGCUAGUCUCAGAAGCUAUGAAGGCCAGACUGACACCUAAAGAGGCCAUCUGCAAGCCUCAGAUAAGGGACGUGGCUCACUUGAGCAGUUGUGGAGUGAAUGGGAGAGGCUGCAUGCACUGGAUUGAAGGAAAAACAUUUUGCCACAGGACAUCAUGAACUAUUUGCAUUUUAUUCUAUCCUUGGAUGAACAAGCAGUCAGUCUAACCGUGGAGUAAGAAGCUGUUAAUUCUGAGGCAAGAGGAAGCAUCAUGCUCUGAAAUAAACCAGCGUGAGAAGGUAUUGUGAAGAUUAAAUGACCAGAAAUUACCUGUCUCGGUCCCAUGAAAUUAUGCUUUAUUCUGAAUGACUCAGCUGCUGACUCUAC